rnacentral:rRNA from 1 species
GGCAGGCGCAUGCUUUAACAUGCAGUCGAACGGCAGCGCGGGCUUCGGCCUGGCGGCGAGUGGCGAACGGGUGAGUAAUGCAUCGGAACGUGCCCAGUAGUGGGGGAUAGCCCGGCGAAAGCCGGAUUAAUACCGCAUACGACCUGAGGGUGAAAGCGGGGGACCGAAAGGCCUCGCGCUAUUGGAGCGGCCGAUGUCGGAUUAGCUAGUUGGUGGGGUAAAGGCUUACCAAGGCGACGAUCCGUAGCUGGUCUGAGAGGACGACCAGCCACACUGGGACUGAGACACGGCCCAGACUCCUACGGGAGGCAGCAGUGGGGAAUUUUGGACAAUGGGGGCAACCCUGAUCCAGCCAUGCCGCGUGCGGGAAGAAGGCCUUCGGGUUGUAAACCGCUUUUGUUCGGGAAGAAAUCCUCUGGGCUAAUACCCCGGGGGGAUGACGGUACCGGAAGAAUAAGCACCGGCUAACUACGUGCCAGC